rnacentral:lncRNA from 1 species
UCACCAAACAAAAGUCAUGGAAUUAAUUGAUGUGGAGAGACACACAGUGUGCCGGAGGAAUGCAGAAACGAACAGAUUCGAACACAAAUGCGUCCAAAAAAACAUCUGCACGAGGUGCUUUUCAGAAUCCACAAAUCCCAACGAAUCCUUUUUCACAGCAAUCAAAUUUGAAACAUCACAAAAUGUGAUCUCUUGUGCCAAAUUGACGAUGCACUUGUUCACGCCAACUCUCAAGCCUCCCACCAUCUCUACCACCAC